CAAUAGCGUAUAUUAAAGCUGUUGCGGUUAAAAAGCUCGUAGUUGGAUUUCUGUCAAGUACAACUGGUCCGCCCUCCGGGUGAGCACAUAGUUUGGUCUUGGCAUCUUGCUGGAAAUUGUUGCUGCACUUGGCUGUGUGGCGCAGUGUCCAGCACUUUCACUUUGAGGAAAUUGGAGUGUUUAAAGCAGGCGUUUGCCCAUUUGAAUACAUUAGCAUGGAAUAAUAAGAUAUGACUUUGGUGGUCUAUUUUGUUGGUUUGCACACCAGAGUAAUGAUUAAUAGGGACAGUUGGGGGUAUUCAUAUUUCAACGUCAGAGGUGAAAUUCUUAGAUCGUUGAAAGAUGAGCUUAGGCGAAAGCAUUUACCAUGGAUGUUUUCAUUAA
rnacentral:rRNA from 1 species